GUCACUGCCUGCUGUGGAGUGCUAGUAUGCCAUUUCUCACUGGCAGGCACUCCAGCUAUUCCUUCAAGUCCAAAUGCAUAACCGCACUCCGGAAUCCUGAUACCACUCCUGGUACAAGCUGGGACCCAGCAGGAAACGGAAACAGCGCAAUUGUUUGGACAAGGAAGAAGCAUAGUAUGAGUCAAGAAAGUCAGUCCUGGCAGCUGGUGAAGAGGAGAAAGACCAGAGAGGUGUGGCUUGUCACAGGGUAGGGGGCACACUGCUGACCCUGGCCAGGACAACAGCCACCCUGCGACCAUGUGACAUGCCAGAUGCAGGGUCGCUCAGCCUCCAAAGACACUCAGGAUGAGAGCUUUCAAGAACAUCGAGACCUCUGCUGGCCUCUGUCCUUCUACAGAGCCCAGGCCUAUGGUGAAGAGACCCUGAGCCUCCUGUCUCUGCACCCUGUUGGGAGCAUGUCAGCUACUCUGCCAGCAUGUGAGACAAGGACACACGCCUCCUCUGCUUAAACCCACAGGCCCGUGACAUCUCCUCAAGCAUGCGGACAUUCAGCCCUUUGGGCAACACAGGGAGGUGGCAGCUGAGGGGUGCUACAGUGGUGGCCAAGAUCACUGCACACGGCGACAGUAGUAGCCCAGGACCUUGCACUUUUCGCAGAGGGGAGAGGAGAAAGAGCUUGACUUCCUGGCAGACCAAGUCCCAGAGGGCAGCUUACCCUCCAUUCACUGUGUGGCCAUGGCCUGGCCACCUGACUUCUAUGAGUCCGCAAACCAAGUAAAGACAAAGGCUAGAUGGAAAAACACCCCUUCUGAUGUCGUUGAGUUUGAAAAUUAAUGGGAGGGGGACAGUGAUACAGGGUCACUCAGAGUAGGAGGUGCUAAGCCACCCCCUGCUGGUCCAAGGGUCCCAGAAACAGAGCAGCACAGAUCUCUCCAUUUGGGUUUGCAUGCCUCCAGGGCGGGGUCAUUGUAUGUUCUAUAUGA
rnacentral:lncRNA from 1 species